rnacentral:rRNA from 1 species
GACGGAGGAUGCAAGUGUUAUCCGGAAUCACUGGGCGUAAAGCGUCUGUAGGUGGUUCGAAAAGUCCACUGUUAAAAAUUGAGGCUUAACUUCAAAGAUGCCGUGGAAACUUUCAAACUAGAGUAUGGUAGGGGUAGAGGGAAUUUCCAGUGGAGCGGUGAAAUGCGUAGAUAUUGGAGAGACCACCGAUGGCGAAGGCACUCUACUGGGCCACUACUGACACUGAGAGACGAAAGCUAGGGGAGCAAAUGGG